rnacentral:tRNA from 1 species
GGGGAUGUAGCUCAGUGGUAGAGCAUUUACCUAGCAUGUGUGAGGCCCUGGGUUCAAUUUCCAGUACCA